rnacentral:rRNA from 1 species
AUUGAACGCUGGCGGCAUGCCUUACACAUGCAAGUCGAACGGUAACGGGCCUUCGGGUGCCGACGAGUGGCGAACGGGUGAGUAAUGCAUCGGAACGUACCUUUCAGUGGGGGAUAACGUAGCGAAAGUUACGCUAAUACCGCAUAUUCUGUGAGCAGGAAAGCAGGGGAUCGCAAGACCUUGCGCUCUGGGAGCGGCCGAUGUCGGAUUAGCUAGUUGGUGGGGUAAAGGCCUACCAAGGCGACGAUCCGUAGCGGGUCUGAGAGGAUGAUCCGCCACACUGGGACUGAGACACGGCCCAGACUCCUACGGGAGGCAGCAGUGGGGAAUUUUGGACAAUGGGCGGAAGCCUGAUCCAGCCAUGCCGCGUGAGUGAAGAAGGCCUUCGGUUGUAAAGCACUUUGGCGGGACGAAACGGCGCUUUCUAAUACAGAGCGCUAAUGACGGUACCCGCAGAAUAAGACACCGGCUAAACUACGUGCCAGCAGCCGCGU